UACGUAGGGGGCAAGCGUUAUCCGGAUUUACUGGGUGUAAAGGGAGCGUAGACGGCGAUGCAAGUCUGAAGUGAAAGGCGGGGGCCCAACCCCCGGACUGCUUCGGAAACUGUAUGGCUGGAGUGCAGGAGAGGUAAGUGGAAUUCCUAGUGUAGCGGUGAAAUGCGUAGAUAUUAGGAGGAACGCCAGUGGCGAAGGCGGCUUACUGGACUGUAACUGACGUUGAGGCUCGAAAGCGUGGGGAGCAAACAGG
rnacentral:rRNA from 1 species